rnacentral:rRNA from 1 species
UACAGAGGGUGCGAGCGUUAAUCGGAUUUACUGGGCGUAAAGGGCACGUAGGCGGUAGGAUGUGUGUGAUGUGAAAGCCCCGGGCUCAACCUGGGAAGUGCAUCGCAAACUAUCUAACUAGAGUAGAUGAGAGGGUGGCGGAAUUUCCGGUGUAGCGGUGAAAUGCGUAGAGAUCGGAAGGAACGUCAAUGGCGAAGGCAGCCACCUGGCAUCAUACUGACGCUGAGGUGCGAAAGCGUGGGGAGCGAACAGG